rnacentral:rRNA from 1 species
CAGUAGCCGCGGUAAUACGGAGGGCGCGAGCGUUACCCGGAUUUACUGGGCGUAAAGGGCGUGUAGGCGGCCUGGGGCGUCCCAUGUGAAAGGCCACGGCUCAACCGUGGAGGAGCGUGGGAUACGCUCAGGCUAGAGGGUGGAAGAGGGUGGUGGAAUUCCCGGAGUAGCGGUGAAAUGCGCAGAUACCGGGAGGAACGCCGAUGGCGAAGGCAGCCACCUGGUCCACUUCUGACGCUGAGGCGCGAAAGCGUGGGGAGCAAACCGGAUUAGAUACCCGCGUAGUCCCUGUCUCUUAUAC